rnacentral:lncRNA from 1 species
AAAUAUACUAUAGGAUAAACCAUGUAUUAAAAUCAUAUAAUAGGCCAAUUAUAUAGUUUAAGCAACCGUGCUAGAACCACAGAACUCGGAAAUGUCUAACACCUUCUCCCAGGUUAACAAAAUUCCUUACUUAGAAUUUUCGGUUCACAGACUUCAAAAUGAAAGUCAAAUUUCCUCGAUUUGGGAUUUUAACAUAAACCAGUGACUUGGGACAGCAAAUAAACUAUCCCAAGUAGUGACUCUGAUAAAUAAAUAUUCUCAUUUCGAAUAAUGUCACAUUAAUUGGAAAAACUCACUUACAUCCUUUUUGGGGUGUGUAAAAAGGAGUUGUGACAAUACACAUAUUGUAAAUGAAGCCAGAAGGUUGUGUUCUUGUAGAAAAUGGUAUAUCUACUACGUGAUGUGCUCAUAUGCUAUAAGGUGCUUUCAACAUACGCGUUGCGCGGCAACUAGCUAUAUUGAUAAGGAAUAUAGUGUUACUGCAUACUUAACACCAAUAGUUGACAGUUGCAGCCAGUGAGUGC